ensembl:lncRNA
UCACACUUACAAAUGGGCAAGUUUUUAUGCUGUAGUCUACCACAAUGAGAACAUAUUUCCCUAUGGCUUCCCACCAUGGAGGGAUAAUACAAACUAGCGACUGUUUCCUAGAGAAACUUCUUAGAGAAGAAACUUUAUCCCCUGAACCGAAGGCUGAGUUCUACAAACAGCGCAAGAGAGCCCGGCCACCGCCCAACAGAAGGGAUGGACUGGUUUCCUUCUUGUUCUUCUAUGAAACGAAACGGGUUGGGACAUCAGAACAGUGUUCAUUACUGUGAAAUCACAAAAUAGAAAACAAGUCUUCCCCUUCUCUCCUGUUGACAAAAAAAUUGUGUGGGGCUUCCCUGGAGGCUCAGUGGUAAAGAAGCUGCCUGCCAAUGCAUAAGACCCUGGUCUGAUCCCAUAUGCCUCGAGGCAACGAAGCCCAUGCACCAUGAGCCUGUGCUCACGAGCCAGGGAGCAGCAACUACUGAAGCCCACGUGCGCUCGAGUCUGUGCUCCACACGAGAGGAACCACACGGUGAGAAGCUCACACACGGAAACGAGGCAGCAGCCCCGCUCGCCAUAACUGGAGAAAAGCCCGCACAGCAGCGAAGACCUAGCACCGCCAAAAAUAAAUCAAUAAAACUGUUUUAAAAUGGAAAAAAA